rnacentral:rRNA from 1 species
GACGAACGCUGGCGGCGUGCUUAACACAUGCAAGUCGAGCGGAAAGGCCCUUCGGGGUACUCGAGCGGCGAACGGGUGAGUAACACGUGAGUAACCUGCCCCAGACUUUGGGAUAACCCUCGGAAACGGGGGCUAAUACCGGAUACGACACAGCUUCGCAUGGGGUCUGUGUGGAAAGUUUUUCGGUUUGGGAUGGGCUCGCGGCCUAUCGGCUUGUUGGUGGGGUGAUGGCCUACCAAGGCGACGACGGGUAGCCGGCCUGAGAGGGCGACCGGCCACACUGGGACUGAGACACGGCCCAGACUCCUACGGGAGGCAGCAGUGGGGAAUAUUGCACAAUGGGCGGAAGCCUGAUGCAGCGACGCCGCGUGAGGGAUGACGGCCCUCGGGUUGUAAACCUCUUUCAGCAGGGACGAAGCGUAAGUGACGGUACCUGCAGAAGAAGCGCCGGCCAACUACGUG